GACGAACGCUGGCGGCGUGCUUAACACAUGCAAGUCGAACGGAAAGGCCCUGCUUUUGUGGGGUGCUCGAGUGGCGAACGGGUGAGUAACACGUGAGUAACCUGCCCUUGACUUUGGGAUAACUUCAGGAAACUGGGGCUAAUACCGGAUAGGAGCUCCUGCUGCAUGGUGGGGGUUGGAAAGUUUCGGCGGUUGGGGAUGGACUCGCGGCUUAUCAGCUUGUUGGUGGGGUAGUGGCUUACCAAGCCUUUGACGGGUAGCCGGCCUGAGAGGGUGACCGGCCACAUUGGGACUGAGAUACGGCCCAGACGCCUACGGGAGGCAGCAGUGGGGAAUAUUGCACAAUGGGCGGAAGCCUGAUGCAGAAACGCCGCGUGCGGGAUGACGGCCUUCGGGUUGUAAACCGCUUUCGCCUGUGACGAAGCGUGAGUGACGGUAAUGGGUAAAGAAGCACCGGCUAACUACGUG
rnacentral:rRNA from 1 species